rnacentral:lncRNA from 1 species
AUGCGCACAGUGUCGUUGCGGACUGUGCGGCGCUUGUUAUUUAGAAAGGAGCGAAACUACCGUUCCCGUCGGCCCUUGUGGCAGGGCGGAUCACGUGCCUUGCGCGGGAGGAGAGAGAGAAGGAUGCUGCGCGGGGGGUGGCGGGAGCACGUGCGAGCGCAGCUGCAGAAGCGGGAGAGGGGCGUGUGGGCCUUGCGGGCGCUACUGGAGCGACAUGAAAAACUGCAGGAGCGCCUGGAAGCCCAGCAGGCGUUCUUGGAGGCGACGCUGAAGGCGCGGNCGGGCGGCGGAUACUGCGGCCCGCCUUGGGAGCAGCUGCGGCGGGAGGCAGAGGAGGUGCGGGAGCUGCGGCGAGAGCGGGAGGAGUUGCGCCAACAGGUCGCCCUCCUGACGGAGAUCGUGCGGGAGACCGANGUCAAGAACCAGGAGCAGCAGGCGAGGAUGCGGCCCCUGGCCCAGAGCUUGACUGCUGUCACCCGCCAGUAUGAGGAGGCGCAGUGCAAGGCCUGGCUCCUUUCCCAGGAGGUGGAGGGGAUGCGCAGAGGGUUAGAGGAGACUCAGCAGCUCCUGGCGGAGGCCCAGCGGGAGCGACAGGGCCUGGAGGCACGCUGGGUGGCAGAAAAGGCCCUGGAAGCAAAGCGGCUGAACCGAGCCAACGAGCAAGAAGAGAAGUAUCGGCAGAAGAUCCUUCGCCUGCGGGAAAAGCUGCAGAAGGCGAACGAAGCGGCCCCGUGCUGAGGGAUGCCUCCAUCUGCUCCAGCAGCCCGCCUGGACGUUCUCUGGGUGUGGCGCCAUAGAAGCACGGCAGGCUGAGCGGCUCACUCCUCAUCUUUGUGCCCAGCCAGUCCAAGGUGGUGGGGGGGGCGCCCUCUUUCUUCCCGGGGCUGGCCCUGCUUGGGACAGUGCCCGGGAGGGUGUGUGGAGCUGCCCCCACAGGGUCUUGGGCGAAGACGGCAGGCACUCCAGCGCUUNGGCCGCUGGGACGGGACAGCAGUUUUAGAACGCCAGUCACUGUCGGCUCUCUGGCCUAGGAAAAGGCAUCGCCAAUAAACGCAGCCGUGGGCAUUGUGAAGGAGCA